rnacentral:rRNA from 1 species
CUACGGGCCGCUCCAGUGAGGAAUUUUGCGCAAUGGGGGAAACCCUGACGCAGCAACGCCGCGUGAGUGAUGAAGGCCUUCGGGUCGUAAAGCUCUGUCGGGUGGGAAGAACCUGCGAUGGUUGAAUAUGCCGUUGCACUGACGGUACCACCGAAGGAAGCACCGGCUAACUCCGUGCCAGCAGCCGCGGUAAUACGGAGGGUGCAAGCGUUAUUCGGAAUUAUUGGGCGUAAAGAGCGCGUAGGCGGCCUUUCAAGUCAGAUGUGAAAUCCAGGGGCUCAACCCCGGAAGUGCAUUUGAAACUGUUGGGCUUGAGUAUGGGAGAGGGAAGUGGAAUUCCUGGUGUAGCGGUGAAAUGCGUAGAUAUCAGGAGGAACACCGGUGGCGAAGGCGACUUCCUGGACCAAUACUGACGCUGAGGCGCGAAGGCGUGGGGAGCAAACAGGAUUAGAUACCCUUGUAGUC